rnacentral:rRNA from 1 species
GAUGAACGCUAGCUACAGGCUUAACACAUGCAAGUCGAGGGGAAACGAUAGAGAAAGCUUGCUUUUUCUAGGCGUCGACCGGCGCACGGGUGAGUAACGCGUAUCCAACCUGCCCACCACUUGGGGAUAACCUUGCGAAAGUAAGACUAAUACCCAAUGACGUCUCUAGAAGACAUCUGAAAGGGAUUAAAGAUUUAUCGGUGAUGGAUGGGGAUGCGUCUGAUUAGCUUGUUGGCGGGUAACGGCCCACCAAGGCUACGAUCAGUAGGGGUUCUGAGAGGAAGGUCCCCCANAUUGGAACUGAGACACGGUCCAAAACUCCUACGGGAGGCAGCAGUGAGGAAUAUUGGUCCAAUGGACGAGAGUCUGAACCAGCCAAGUAGCGUGCAGGAAGACGGCCCUAUGGGUUGUAAACUGCUUUUAUAAGGGAAUAAAGUGAGUCUCGUGAGACUUUUUUGCAUGUACCUUAUGAAUAAGGACCGGCUAAUUCCGUG